rnacentral:misc_RNA from 1 species
UCCUUGUCCAUAUUCUUAGCAGGCGCCACAUUAUCGAUCUUUUCUUCUGUCCUAACACCAGUAAAGAAGCUUUAUGUUGCUUUGCUUCUUCAACAACCACAGCUCCUUUCUCUUUUCCUUCUUGCAUGACUAUCUCCACUUGUACUCCUGGUUUCCUUGUUUGGCACAUAUUUUUCAUGGAGCAAAGAAGUUCAUACGCCCUCUGAUUAAUUUCACUGUUUGCUUUUUCACCUAAAUCAUAAUAAACUGAACAUAAUUAGUUAAGAAGUUAAAAAAACUAGCUGAGCGCUAAGCUCAGUGACAGAGCCAGAAUUUUAAUUCACGAGUCUAAAAGAUUUACCUUUGUUUGAGAUUUUGCUAACAUAAAGAAG